rnacentral:rRNA from 1 species
UGGGGAAUAUUGCGCAAUGGGGGCAACCCUGACGCAGCCAUGCCGCGUGAAUGAAGAAGGCCUUCGGGUUGUAAAGUUCUUUCGGUAGCGAGGAAGGCAUUUAGUUUAAUAGACUAGGUGAUUGACGUUAACUACAGAAGAAGCACCGGCUAACUCCGUGCCAGCAGCCGCGGUAAUACGGAGGGUGCGAGCGUUAAUCGGAAUAACUGGGCGAAAAGGGCACGCAGGCGGUGACUUAAGUGAGGUGUG